ACGAACGCUGGCGGCGUGCUUAACACAUGCAAGUCGAACGAGAAGAGAUGAGAAGCUUGCUUCUUAUUAAUUCGAGUGGCAAACGGGUGAGUAACGCGUAAGCAACCUGCCCUUCAGAUGGGGACAACAACUGGAAACGGCUGCUAAUACCGAAUACGUUCUUUUUGUCGCAUGGCAGAGAGAAGAAAGGGAGGCUCUUCGGAGCUUUCGCUGAAGGAGGGGCUUGCGUCUGAUUAGCUAGUUGGAGGGGUAACGGCCCACCAAGGCGACGAUCAGUAGCCGGUCUGAGAGGAUGAACGGCCACAUUGGGACUGAGACACGGCCCAGACUCCUACGGGAGGCAGCAGUGGGGAAUCUUCCGCAAUGGACGAAAGUCUGACGGAGCAACGCCGCGUGAACGAUGACGGCCUUCGGGUUGUAAAGUUCUGUUAUACGGGACGAAUGGCGUAGCGGUCAAUACCCGUUACGAGUGACGGUACCGUAAGAGAAAGCCACGGCUAACUACGUG
rnacentral:rRNA from 1 species